rnacentral:rRNA from 1 species
CUUGACAUCCAGCGAACUUGGCAGAGAUGCCUUGGUGCCUUCGGGAACGCUGAGACAGGUGCUGCAUGGCUGUCGUCAGCUCGUGUUGUGAAAUGUUGGGUUAACGUCCGCAACGAGCGCAACCCUUAUCCUUUGUUGCCAGCGAUUCGGUCGGGAACUCAAAGGAGACUGCCGGUGAUAAACCGGAGGAAGGUGGGGAUGACGUCAAGUCAUCAUGGCCCUUACGAGUAGGGCUACACACGUGCUACAAUGGCGCAUACAAAGAGAAGCGACCUCGCGAGAGCAAGCGGACCUCAUAAAGUGCGUCGUAGUCCGGAUCGGAGUCUGCAACUCGACUCCGUGAAGUCGGAAUCGCUAGUAAUCGUGGAUCAGAAUGCCACGGUGAAUACGUUCCCGGGCCUUGUACACACCGCCCGUCACACCAUGGGGGUGGGUUGCAAAAGAAGUAGGUAGCUUAACCUUCGGGAGGGCGCUUACCACUUUGUGAUUCAUGACUGGGGUGAAGUCGUAACAAGGUAGGCGUAGCGAG